rnacentral:lncRNA from 10 species
CUUUAACUCAUGAUUGACUUUUUCUGUGUAGGUGGAAUUUUUUUUUUAAAUCAGAAUUAUUCUGGGCACAGAGAUUUUGUUUUUCUGGUAACGGACCAGAUUCUAUAAGGGUUUAAAGUUCUCUUUCGCUGUAAAUGCUGCAGCUUUGGGAACUGUUUGGCAUUGAAACUACGUGGUUUUAUGUGUAAUCACUCUUUUUUCGUGACUCUCUGGAAGCUGCGAAGUGUUAUUUAGAACUGCUGUAGGCAAAAAGAAUCAUAUUUCUGUGUCAUUCUUCAAAGAUGUUUGUGUGAUGACAGCUUGAUUCUUCAGACCUGCUCAAGGACUCUUUUCUUCUCAUUUGCCUUUAUUUUGAUGGUUUGGGGAAACAUCUUUUAGAGAAGAACAUGUCAUGAACAUGAGAGCACAGACAUCUCUUCCACAGACUGACUUCAAAUCUUUUGAGCAAAUACCCAGGAGUAAGAUUGCCAGAUCAUAUGAGAACCAGGAACCCUGGGAACUUCAUUUCCUAGACUUUCAAGAAGGACUUCAAAGAUUUUAGAUACUUCCAAAAGUAGAAACCAGUAGAAGAAAGUACUGUGCCUCCAGAGAAGACAUGUUUUUCAAAAGCAUCAUGGUGAGGUCGUUUUUACUAAGUUCCAGAGAGUCCUGAAACUUCCUGAUUUCCACAUGCAACUUUCAGCUGUUCCCGAUCCAUUUCUUUUUAAUGAUCAGAAUGGUUUUGCUUUCUUGAUGGACUCCUAAUCGAUACAAUAAAAGAGAAUAAGAAGUAAAUCUGCACUUAAAUGAAUGUAUACACCCAAAUGGUGUCAACUGGGUGGUCCAGAGAAUUGUAAAUCUUGCUAUUGCAGAGUGCACCUGGCUAGAUUUUCAGUGCCCCACAUGCCUGCUCGCUCCCUUAGGGGGAACAGAAAAAAAAUAAAACUUGCAUCUUCUACCUCAAGUUAUUUUCGCAAAUUAUUUUCCCAAAUCAGAAUAUAAUUAAAGAUAACCAAGUACAAGAGAACAAGA